CCUCAUUCAGGGGGCCAACUCCAAAUGGGAGGCUGCCCUGAAGGCAUCUCUACACAACAAGGAACACAACCUGGUUAGGAAAACCUGCCACAGGAUUCUGCAAUUUGUGUCAAAGGACCUGGCCUGAACACAGGAAUGGCAGUAACAAUUCAACAUCUAAUGUUUGGGAAAAGGACACUGUCAACCCAUACUUUUGACUACAAUAAUAAUAAAUAAAAUAAUAAAAUUUA